ACAUUUCUUAUAGAUUAUUUUAUAAGUAAAGCCUGCCCACUGUUUAUAUAAAGGGCCGCGGUAUUCUGACCGUGCAAAGGUAGCAUAAUCAUUAGUCUUUUAAUUGGAGAAUGGAAUGAAUGGUUAAAUGACUUUUUUCUAUCUUUUUAUUUUAAAUUUUAAAUUUGAUUUUAAGUGAAAAUACUUAAUUUUUUUAAAUAGACGAUAAGACCCUAUAGAAUUUUAUUAUUAAUUUUUUAUUUUUAUAUAAAUUUAAUUUAAUUGGGGCAAUUGAAGAAUAUAUAUAAUUUCUUAAAAUUUUGAAUUUUUAAUAUCUUUGUUAAUAGUUUAAAAAAAUUACCUUAGGGAUAACAGCGUAAUUAUUAUUGAGAGUUCAUAUCGACAUAAUAGAUUGCGACCUCGAUGUUGAAUUAAAUUUCUUUAUAGAAGCAGAUUUUAUAAAAAGUAGUCUGUUCGACCUAUUAAAUUUUUACAUGAUUUGAGU
rnacentral:rRNA from 1 species